UACAGAGGUCUCAAGCGUUGUUCGGAUUCAUUGGGCGUAAAGAGCGUGUAGGCGCCAGACAGGUCCGUUGUGAAAACUGGAGGCUCAACCUCCCAGACGUCGAUGGAAACCGUCUGGCUAGAGUCCGGAAGAGGAGAGUGGAAUUCCUGGUGUAGCGGUGAAAUGACGCAGAGUAUCAGGAAGAACACCCGUGGCGAAAGCGGCUCUCUGGGACGGUACUGACGCUGAGACGCGAAAGCGUGGGGAGCGGACAGG
rnacentral:rRNA from 1 species